rnacentral:rRNA from 1 species
GAUGAACGCUGGCGGCGUGCCUAAUACAUGCAAGUCGAGCGAACAGACGAGGAUCUUGCUCCGCUGACGUUAGCGGCGGACGGGUGAGUAACACGUGUAUAACCUACCUAUAAGACUGGGAUAACUUCGGGAAACCGGAGCUAAUACCGGAUAACAUGUUGAACCGCAUGGUUCAACAGUGAAAGACGGUCUUGCUGUCACUUAUAGAUGGAUCCGCGCCGCAUUAGCUAGUUGGUAAGGUAACGGCUUACCAAGGCAACGAUGCCUAGCCGACCUGAGAGGGGGAUCGGCCACAGUGGAACUGAGACGCGACACAGACUCCGAGGGGAGGCCGCAGUAGGGACUGUACCGAAAUGGGCGAAAGCCUGCAGGAGCAACGCAGGGUGAAUGAUGAGGUCUUCGGAUCGUAAAAAUCUGUUAUUGGGGAAGAACAAAUGUGUAAGUAACUAUGCACGUAUUGACGGUAACUAAUCAGAAAGCAACGGCUAACUACGUG